rnacentral:rRNA from 1 species
GACGAACGCUGGCGGCGUGCUUAACACAUGCAAGUCGAACGGAAAGGCCCUGCUUUUGUGGGUUGCUCGAGUGGCGAACGAGUGUGUUACCCGUGAGUAACCUGCCCUUGACUUUGGGAUAACUUCAGGAAACUGGAGCUUAUACCGGAUAGGAGCUCCUGCUGCAUGGUGGUGGUUGGCACGUUUCGGCGGUUGGGGAUGGACUCGCGGCUUAUCAGCUUGUUGGUGGGGUAGUGGCUUACCAAGGCUUUGACGGGUAGCCGGCCUGAGAGGGUGACCGGCCACAUUGGGACUGAGAUACGGCCCAGACUCCUACGGGAGGCAGCAGUGGGGAAUAUUGCACAAUGGGCGGAAGCCUGAUGCAGCAACGCCGCGUGCGGGAUGACGGCCUUCGGGUUGUAAACCGCUUUCGCCUGUGACGAAGCGUGAGUGACGGUAAUGGGUAAAGAAGCACCGGCUAACUACGUG